rnacentral:lncRNA from 1 species
CGACCCGCUAAAAAAGUUUCUAGCUUCGCCCUGAUUAUUUCAGCUCACUAAAUUAGAUUUACAAUCGCAGAUUAAAAAACACAAGUAACAUAUUUGUUGCUAUAACGCAGGUUUUGGCAAUCAUGAACAUCGCUUUGUUUGCAGACCAAACAUUCGACAUAUAGGGUUAAUAAAAUAGGAAAAUAAAAAUAGAACAAGUAAGAAAAGUAUGAUUCAUCACUAAGAAUCAUAUUAAGAAAAGGAGAUUCAGAUUCAUAACCAAAUAUGGGAAAUCAAAAGUAUUACCAUCAAUAGCUUUCUAGUGGGUCGAUAAUGUUUGGAUUUGUUACAAUUGUUGAGAACACAGUUUGGUAGGUAUUGUUCCCUACCUUAUAUCAUGAAAUUGGUAUUAGGCGACGACAUUGGAACCGCAGUUGGGAAGGCAACAUGAGAGACAACCCCUAUUCAAUUACGUUGUUGUUGCAUGGUAGUUUCACUUAUGGCCUGUAAGUGGCAUUCCAAAUCUUUCUUCCUCUCUUGGCCAUCACUAUUUUGAGUCUGGUCGACCUUGCUGUUCAACUCGUCGCUUUUCUCUCUUUCUAUUAUUUCCACUCAUUCAUUGGGUUUCGAAACAGAAUAUUGACAAAAACCUCAUCUCUUGGGAUAGCUUCAGAUAUGUUGCCUAAUAAGGAUUGGACCUACAAAGAUAUCCUCCCAGCCCCUUUACAACCAGAUUCAUGACCUCACGUUUCGCAUAAUAAUUUAUUUUGUCAUCCAAUUCUAUAUAAAAAUAAUUAUUUUUACUUUAUAUUUAAUUUUUUCACCUUUUCUAAUUUUUAAAUUUAUAUUGUUUGAUAAAUCACCUCAAAAUAGAUGGAGAAGUUAAUGUCUAUUAACCUUAUCUUGUCAGCAAGUAAUUAUUUUUUAAACUUUUUAAAAAAUUAUUUAAUUGUUGAUGUGUCAUACAUGUGGACUGCCACAUCAAUAAAGUUAAAUAACUAAAUGAAAUAAAAGAUUAAAUGGAGGGUUAAAAAUUGUUAGAAUAAAUCAAUAUAAUUUAUAAUUUUAAUAAAAUAUUUAAUAUUACAAUUUAAUUUUAAUAAUAAAUUUUAAAAUCAAUAAUUUUAAAAUUUUAAAAAUAUUCUUAAUGUAUUAUUGAAAAAUAUUUAUAUUAAUAUUUUUCUAAUAUAUAUAAAUACUACAAUGAUAAAUAUAUCAAUAAUAAAUUUUUUUUAUUGUAUAAAGGUUUUAAUAUGUCAUAAGUCUUUGUACACUUUAAAAACUUAGAAUUUAAUUCUUGUAAUUUUACUUUCAAGAAUUUGGUCUCUCUACUUUUCAUAUUUAAAAAUUAGGUCUAAUUGUUAACAUUGUUAAAAUUUUUUUGUCAAAUUUACUAAUAUGAUUUUUUUUAAUGAAAAAUAUUCACUUGGUAGUCAUGUAUUAAAAAAUAGCGCUGUAAUGAACUUAAAAUUAACAAAAUAUAUUUAAUGGCAUUAAUAAUGGGAUCUAAAUUUUAAAAUCUAAAAGGUCAUACUAAAUUCCCAAAAAUCGAAAUACUCACAAGGACUUACAGCAUUAUUUAACCUAGUAUAAAAUAUGAAUAUUUUAAUUGUAUAGAUAUGAGUAUUUGUUUAAAUAAUGUUCAACUUCAUUUAUCUCUCACAAGUCUAAUUUAUCAAUAAGUACUCUCAUAUAGAGAAUAUAUGUAAUUUAAAUUAGGCAUUAUUUAUUAUCAGGUUUAUACAUGAUAUUGAUUAUUACAAAAUAUUAUCUUAUUAUAAAAUAAAUUUCAAUUGUCAAAGAAAAUUGUAUUAUAAUAUUUUGUAACAAAUAUAUUUAUACCAUGUUCUUUUCACAAAAAAUAAUUUUUAAAAAAUCAUUUCAAAAAAAAAUUACUAAAUAACGAAAGUAUUUUACAUAAAAUCGUCCAGAUACCUUAAUAUAUCAACUUUAAAAAAAAAUCAAUUCUUUCUUUAAAAUUCAUUUUCCGAAAAUUAUUUGCAAUUAAACAAACGCGACUUGGACAGUUACUAACAUAAGGUAAGAUGUGUCGGAAUCUUAAUGUGGAAAAGCCCCCUAACAUAGUCACGAAAGCAUACGAUACUCCUUUUAUUUCUAUUGCAGCUAAAGCAUAAGAUACCUUUUAAGUUAAAAUCAUGUUAGAUUAGGUGAAUGAUUGAAAAAAUAUAGAUGAAAUUUGUAUCUUGGAGAAAAUAUAAAAUAAAAUUUUAAUAUCAAAUUUUGAUAUUUCGUAUUCUAACUUAUGUUUGAAAUAAUUUCUUUAUACUUGUAUUGUAUUGGUAUUACUUUUUAUAACUUAUCAUAUUUAAUGUCAUAUUUAAUUAUUUUUUAAAUUGCGCACAUGCAAUUUACCAUGUAUAAUAUUAAUGACAUUCUAGAUUUUAAUUAUUUUUUUAACUUUGAAUUUUCUUUUUUUUUUUUAUUUUAAGAAUUUAACUAAAUAAGACUUUGAUUCACUUGAAAAAAAUUUAAAUUUAAGAUUUAUUAUGCAUAAUUAUAUGCGCAAGAGUUUUUGAGUUUUAAUUUAAUUAAUCUUAAUUUGAUUUUAAUCUUAACUUAUUAAUACGAUCUAUUUAUAGUUAUUUAUAUUUGUAACUAUAUUGUACUUAUUACGCUUAAAAAAAUUUAAAUUGUUUCACUUUUCUUUUCCUUUCAGAAUAUUUCAUAUUAAUUCCUAAUCGAUCUAGACAUCUCUUUUGUGGUGACAUCCACUUUAAACUUCAUAAGGUGUGCAGAUAAGAGAUUUGCCUGCCAAUUAUAUAUUCUGACUAAAUGAAUAUAUGCCUCUUAAUUUCCUUUUUGUUUUUCUUAGGAAAAAAAAAAAAACAGAAAAAAGAAAAGAAUAUGCAAGUACCUUCAUUCUUUAUCAUCUUCAUCGUCAUCAUCAUGUGCUUGAUUUUGCCUUUUACCAGGCUAAUUGGAAUGUAUACAUGUGUGUGUAUAUAUACAUGCUAAUUGUCACCAUAUUCACCUGCCUAAUCAAUUGUAGAGGAAUAUAUGACUGUUAGCAUCCUCGCAAUUUCAGACUUAGAGAUAUUUAAUAAAUACAAGAUUUAUGAUACACUUACAUUCAUAAUGUAUAUGAAAAGGAAAGUUAUUUAAUAAAUAUAUUUAUUAAAAAUUCACAUAAAAAUUAAUUGAUAUUUUGAUUAUAAUUGUAAAGUUAAUUGUUUACUGUGCAUGAAUGUAGAGUUGUCUAAGGGUCGGGUUAUCUAUUUAAACUCGAAGGCCUGCUUGAAAUAUGGAAGGAUUUGGACAAGUAAAUAAAGCCAAAAAAAAAGGGGCUUGGGAAAAUGUAUAGACCCAUUUUUUGUUUUGGUCGAGCCUCUAGUAAAGUUUUUAUGCCUGAGCCUAACCCAACCUGAAUGUAUAUAUAGCUUCUAUAUUGAUUCUAUUCCUUUGUUGGGUAUGAAAGAUUUGAAGGUGUGCGAUUUACUUAGUGAGACUUGUAACAAUCCGAUUUUUAGUGGUGUCGAAAAUAGUGGUUUGAGGCCACUAAAUCCGGUAAGUAAGUUUGUAAAUAUAUUAUUUAAUAUUUACGAGCUAAAUAUGAUUUUAGAAAGGUUUUUAAAUUAUUAAUUUGUGCUUUGUAAUGAUUUAUUCGGUUAAGUGGUUUUAGAAAAUGAGGUAUCAGGAUCUUAUUUUUAUAAACCGAGCCGUAAAUAUUUUUAUAAAUGUUUACGGAGUGUCAACAAGGUAGUACUAACGUUUCGUUAAAAUUUUUUUAUCAUUUUGGUAGUCAAUUAAUUAAAAAGGACUACAUUGAAAAAGGUGUAAAACUUUCUAAUUAUAAUAAUAAAGUGACUAAAUGGCUUGAUUAAUAAAUAAGAAGGGACUUAAAGGGUAAAUAAUCCUAAAAGAGAGGCUGAGGCAGCAUAUGAAUAAAAAAAUAAUAAAAUAAAAAGAAAUAAUGGCAAAAUUGUAAUUAUAAUGAAAUCAAAUAAGACAAAUUGAAAUUUAAAAAGCAUUCUAGGCUUUUCUUCUCCAAAUUUCGGUUUAAAAACAGAGAAGGGGGAGAGCUCAACCUGGUUUUUAUAUUUUUGGCUGUAGGUAAGUUCAAUUUAGCCCCGUUUUCAAUAAUUUUUAUGUUUUUGAGAUUUUUACAAUUAAAUCCAACUAAACAUUAUUUUUGUUUUUUAUUUGGUUAAAGAUUUUGAAUGUUUCCAUUGAUGAAUAUAUAUGAUUCUUGAUGUUAAAUGAUGAAUUUGAGAUAUUAUUUGUUAAUUAAAAGUAUUUUAUUAAGUAAUUUUUGAUGAAUUUCUCGAUUAUGGACUAAAUUGUUGAAAUGGUAAAAAUACAAGAGUUUGUUGUGAAUUUAUUGCAAAAAUGGGCUGUAUUGAAUGCCAUUAAUAUUUGGUUAGCUUGAAUUUGUAUUAAAAAUGGUUAAUUUGCAUGAUUUGGGCUCAGGGACUAACUUGAAUAAAAGUAAAAUUUUAGGGGAAUUUUGUAAAAAUUUCAAAAAUGACCAAAUUACAUGAAAUAAUUUUUUUAUUAUUUAAAUUAAGAAAUUAAAUGAAAUUAUUAAUUUAGAACAAGAUUGGGUAGAAAAUCGAGGAAAAUAAAAAAUUACUAAAAUACCCCUGAAUCUUGGUAGUUCUGCAAUUUAGCCAGGUAAGUUCGUAUGAAUUGUAGUCUGUAUAAUUUUGAUUAAAGUGAAUGUUAAUUGCUGAUGGGUAUUAUAUAUAUGUAACACCCCUAACCCAUACCCGUCGCCGGAGGGUUAAAGAGUAUUACCAUACAAGCACGAAAUUUCAGUUAACUUUAUUUGAAUAACUCCCGUUGGCACACUUAUAAAACCGAAUUCCAACUUGUUUUUCCAAUUAUACAAUAUACAAAAGAGUCAUCUCAAGAUAAUGGGUACAUUGAUUAAUUCUUAAGUUCAAUUCACAUCAAAACAUUGAAAACUUUAAUCGAAUAUCAACCACACAUUCACAUUAACUAUGUGGAGCACAUAUGGUAACUUAACAAGCCAUUUUCGCAUGGCUAUACAUAUAUACAUCAUCAAAAAGAUACUUAUUUAACAACAAAAAGUCAAGCCUAUACAUGCCAUUAUCAAAGUUUAACUACUAGAGUACCGAAUGGGCUUAGAUAGUGUGGACGACUUCGACUUUGAGAUCCCCGAGACCGUAGCUAACGAACGAGAUCUAUAAAACAGAGGAUUAAGGGCAACAAAGUAAGCAUUUCUAUGCUUAGUAAGAUUUAAGUAAUGAAAUCAUUAAAAAUUAAAGCAUAGCAUUCAUAAUGCUUAUCAUCUUUUCUUUGACCGAAUAUAACAUGACUAAAUAUACUACUAUUGUUUAUGCAAGUCAUUUUAAAUUAUUCCUUAAACACCAAUUCAUAUCACGUAGAUAACUUCUUUUUAUUCAACCAACUUCAUUAUUUGGCUGAAUACAUCUAAUUCAAUUUCAAGGCUAAAUAAAUACAUAUACGCAUAUUCACAUAUUCAUGUUACUUCACACUUCAACCAAUAUACUCACAUGCUCAGAGCCAAUAUUAACAUAUUUUCACUUGAAUCAAAAUUCAUGUAUCCUGAAUAAGUUAUAGACUUCAUACAACCAUAAGUAAUGGCUGACAGAGCACUAUCUAAAUGAAUAAUCAUAAUUUAAACCAAAUCAAAUUUUACAACGUAUAUACGGUACAUACCUGACCAUCUUAGGGUUGUGAGCCUAUUAAUUUGAAUUAUUACAGCAAGACCACACAUUUCCAACACAAUUGCCUUCGGGACUUAGCCCGGAUAUAACACCAGCACGAAUGCCUUUGGGAUUUAGCCCGGAUAUAACACCAACAAGAAUGCCUUCGGGACAUAGCCCGGAUAUAACACCAGCACGAAUGCCUUUGGGACUUAACCCGAAUAUAACAUCAAAAUGAAUGCCUUCGGGACUUAGCCCGGAUAUAAAUCUCACACAAGGCCUGCGGGUCUUAGCCCGUUGAAAAUCCUCAAUUAUUGUGCACAUAUAUAUAUCAUAGUACAUUAGCAUUUCAUUUAAAUUACUAGAACAUAAGCACAACAUGCUUAUCAACCAUUCCACUUUCGGCUCAAUAGCCAUAUACAAAGAACAAGACUUCGUUUCGCUAUCCAACAUGAUUUCUAUAACCAUUCGGUUACAAGUCAUAUGCACAAAUUAUUUAUCUCACUACUUAAUUCAAGUAGAACCAUUAGGUUACAAUUUAUAUAUUAUGCUUAUAUAUCAUGAUUUUAUCAAAUCAUAAACUAAGUUCCAUUACUCAAAGACUUACCUCGGAUGUUUUGAACAGUUGCGGAUAGGCUACUUGAUUGCUUUCUCCUUUCCCCUAUUUGAUUUAGUUCCUCUUUGCUCUUGAGCUUUAAAUUUAAACAAAUGAAUUUGUUUAAUUACUUACUCAACUUUGAUUCUUUAAUAAUCACAUUUGGCAAGCAUAUAACUUCAAUGCAUAUUAUGUUUUAUAAAAUGUGCCAUGACUCGAUUUCAUGCUUUUUAUAUCAAUAUCUAAUUCGCAUACACAAACAAAGAUUCACAUAACUUACCAUGCUUUCCUAUACACGAAUUCAACUAUAUAUAAUAUAUAUAUAUGUAUAUCCGAAUGUCUCUAUGUCACAAGGUGCAUACAGAAGGUAUAUAUAUUUAUACCUAUGUGUGAAUAUCACAAUUUAAUUGAUUACUUGUUCAUGCACAACCACGUAUACACCUAUAUAUAAUUAGAGCAUAUCUUAAUAUCUUAUAUACUCCAUUCGACCCUAACCACUCAAACUUAGCUUUCAUGUACAAUCUCCAUUUCAUGAGCAAAUGUAGCAAAUUGCACACCGGUUUCAUUCUUGCCAAACAAUGACCGAAUAUGCAUGACAAAUAAAUAGCUUACAUAACACAUAACUCACAUAGCCAAAGUUCAUAUAACCCUAAUGUCCAAAUAUGUAUAUCACCCAAAUUUUCUUAUGACUUAACCUUUAACUCCUUUUUGUCGAAUAUCCAUUAAAUAUCUAGUCAUCAAAAACCUUAUUUUUAACCACCGUAUAUAUAUAUAAUUAGCAAAAUGGAUUGAUUAUACAUAUAUACUAUCAAAAUCGAACAUAAUAAUCUUACCUAUGCAUAACAUUACUCACAUUCCAAUACUCAAAUUAUUCAAAUCAUACUCUAAAAAAAAUCAUGAACAAUGCCGAACCCUUAAAUGUUCAAACAUCUAAUUUACUCAAUUCAAAACACCUAAACGGUAUUUGUUCAAGACAUUAAGCAACCCCAUGUUCGGCUAUUACACAUAUGAGCAUUAACAAUUCAUACUUUUAACAAGAUCAACUUAUUCAACCAUCAUUUAAGCUAUUUAACAUAAAACUAACAUCUUCCCAAAAACUUAUCAAAAUAAGAAAAAUUUAGCACUUGCUGAAUGGACACUUGUUCAUUGAUUCAUGAAUUUAAACCAUGGGUUAGCUAUGCUAUGUAUUUAUAAAUUCUAUUUCAUAAUCAAUUUCAAAGCAAAUUUACAAUACAUACCUUUAAAUGGAGAUAACCAUGGCCGAAUGCAUUGGCUUCUUCUUCAAUAUUUUUCUUUCUCAAAAUUCGGCAAUUGAAGAAAGAAGAUGAACAUCCAAUAUUUUAUCUUAUUCAUCUAUAUUAUUAAGUAUAAAGCCAUUUAACUAAUAAUUAAUACAUAUUUUAAUAUAAAAGUAUCAUCAUGGCCGGCCACUAUGAACAAAAAUGGAUAUUUGACAUGCAAGUCCAACCUUUUUAUAACAUGCAUUAAUAGACCACUUUUAGAUUUACCUAUCACAUUUCACAAUUUUCUCACACAAGUCCUAUUUAAUAAAUUUCACAUACAAAUGACAAAAUUAAAGCAUGAAACUUUCACACAUGCAUGUACACAUACAAUAAGCAUAUAAUAUAACGGUUAAUUAUUUUUAUGACUCGGUUUUGUGGUCCCGAAACCACUUUCCGAUUAAGGUCAAAUUAGGGCCGUCACAAUAUAUAUAUGUGUGUGUGUGUGUGUGUGUGUGUGUGUGUGUUCUAUUGUUGGAAUUGAAUUAUUAUUGGAAACAUAUUAUCGAAUUUAAUACUCAGUUUGGAUUGAAUGCGGGAUUUGAGCACAUCCAUAAAUUGAUGUAUGGUGGUAUUGGAAGGAGACAUUAGAAUAUUACCCAAGUAAACUGGGGUUCAACAUUUGUUGCAAACUCUCGUGUUUUACUUUCUGUUUGGAGUGAUUUGGGUGGAUCAACUCUCACUAGCUUUUGUUUAGCUCUUAUGAGCUUCCGUUGGUGUGUUCUGGUGGACUAGCUCUAUGAGCUUUUAUUGAUGAUGAACUCUUAUUUUUAAGUCGUUCUUCGUAUGGAAAAUCUCGAUAAAGUAAAUUGUUUAAUGAAUUUAAAAGAUUUGUUAAUUAUUGCAUAUUGACCCAAACAUAAAUGAAAAUGAGAUAUGUUGUUACUAAAUGAGAUACAUGAGUUAUGCACUCGUGAAUUGAGUAUUGAAUGACUAAUGCAAAUGUAUAAACAGUUGUGGUUUGAUAUGUGAACAGCUAUUUAUAUAGCAAUUGUGUGAAUUGGGACAUUGUUAAUCAAACAAAAGAUGUUAGCAUGUGCAAUUUGAGUAUUUGACACUUUAUCAUUAAAUUGAAUUUAAGUUCGAUUGAAUGUAUUGAAAUUGAUAUAUAUAUAUUGAAUAUAUUGAUUAUUUGAAUUGAAAUGAAUAUUAGUUGUAUUUGAAAAGUGAAUUGAAACCCUAUUAACUGUAUCGGGCUGACUCGGAUAUAGAUAGCAUGCCAUAGGAUUGGAAGAGUUUAGGGAUUUCUUCGACUUCGAGUCGAUGAAACACGGGCGUGAGUCUCAGUUGUGUGUGACACACGGCCAGGUGACACAUGGAAACACAAAAAAUUAUAUACUUUUUCCUACCCAUUUUUACUUAAAUUCAUGCAAAUCCGGUUAAAUUCUUGUCGAAAAAUAAUUAAAUAUUAUAAAAUAAUUAAAUUGUGUUAAAAAUAUGAACAUGGUGAAUUUAGUUAAUUUUAUACUUAAUUUUGAUUAAAUUUUGACUAUUUUCGACAGAUUCGCGCAAAGGGCGAAAAUUGGCUCGAUUGACACUACUGAAAGCACAAAAUCGAGAAGCAAUUUGAAGUAUUGAGGCACAUUAAUUUCCAGCAUAAGAUGGUCCAAAAAUGUGUUUUAAUUCAUAAUUUAAUUAAUUUUAAUUUAUUCCCCAUUAAAUUUGGGUUAAAUAAUUUAUUUUUAAUUAAUUAUGAAGAAAGGGUCCAGUUGAACCGCACCGAUCAAGCCAUAUUGAGUGAACCGAACCAGCCACUAAAUGGGCAGCCCAGAACCAUCCAUAGGCUGACCCAAACCAGCAUUUUAUCUGAUUAAAUAUGCUUGCAAAUAGGCCCUUGAAGAACUUUCAAAAUGCAUUCAAACCCCUCCUUUAAUUGUGGCUUUAUAAAAUUGCCCCAAGCUUAAAAUAGCAAAGUUGAAACUCUCAACUUUGCCAUGUGUGUGGCUGGCCAUAGGGGGCUCUUUGGCUUCUGGAAUUUGCUAUUUUUAUCAGCCACAAUCAGCUAUAAGAUCCAUCCCUUGCUGAUCAUUCAAACCAUCCCUCAUUCCACAACAUUCUCUCAUUCCCUUUCUCACUUUUCUCUCAUUUUUUUCAUCCCAUUUCCCUCUUAUUCAAGUGCCGAUUUCUUCUCUUGGGAAAGAGGAUCUCAUCAGCCAUUUUGGAGUAGCAAUUAGGUGUUCAUAUGCCACCUUGAUAGUCGAGGGCAACGAAGAAUGAAGAACGGAGUAGCUAGUCAAGCCAAGGAGAAACACCGGAUUUGCUUAUUGUUCCCUAUCUAUUUAAGUUUUGUUGUUGUUUUGACGAACAUGCUUAUGAAUAUUUAUGCUAUCGAAAUGGUUACUUUAAUCAAUUUAGCUUAAAUUAAUUUUGUGUUGGGUUGAUUACAUUCUGCCUGCUUGAAUUGUUAAAAUGAUGUUUAUGCUGUUAUAGGCCUCUGUAAAUUGCUUGGUUAAGUAAAAUCAUGCCUAAGUUAUUCUUGCGUUACGACUGUGAGGUAGCUAAUGAAUUAAUUAUUUAAACGGAUUGCAAUUGUAAUUAAUUGACACAGUACUUAAUCAGUGCAUGUUUAUUCAUCUAAGGUAGCUGAAGGUUAAAAUGUAUCUGGCGAUAUUAUUGCCUUGCAUAACUUGCAAGAUUAUUGUGAUUAAACUGUUUCAAGGUAGGGAUGCCUUGUUACCUCACAUAGUCUUUUAUAUGCUUAUUAGAUUUAAUUAUUCGUUUGAAUUGACAUAGGGAUAUGCAAGAGAUUAGUUCAGUUUAAUGAGUAUGAAUGUGCAAUAACAUGUUUGCUUACUAGAAUCUGUUUAGUCGGUUGAAUUGACAUAAGGAUAUGUCAAGAGAUGAAUGGAUUUUUGUAUGUAAGUUUGUUCAUAAGUUAGCAAAUUACCGGGUUGCUUUGAAUUUAUUCGUAACAGUGUAAACAUGAGUUUAAUAAUUCUGAGUUCAAGAAAUAUAAUUAAUCCAACACAAGUAUGUUACCUUGAUUAAAUCUUAUUUGAAAUCGUGCAUUAUAACUCCUUUGUUUUAUUUUAAUUAUUUAUUUAGUUUUUUUAAAUAGUUUUUGACCAUCUUUUAAAACAAAAUUAUUUUUACCUCACCAAAGUAUUUUACAAUUAAUUUCAUAAAUAAUUUUUUUUACAGUCCCUGUGGGUACAAUAACUCGACAUUACUUGUCACUUUAUUAAUUAUUAUGAUUGUGUACACUUGCACAUUUCCGUCGUUCCAAGUUUUUGGCGCCGUUGCCGGUGACUUUUUUUAAAAAAAAGCCAUUAUUUGUGAAUUUGUUAGUUUUACAUUUUGGUUUAUUUUCCUGUUUAAAUUUUUUCUUAAUUUUUUUUUCUUGUGAUUAUUUCAGGUGUUUAUGAGUAUUGACCUGAUUAUUGACUUAUUUCCUGUAGACCCUGAGAUAGAACGAACCUUUCGACAAUGAAGAAGACGAGCAAACUAGAGAAUGACCGAAGAAAUGAACUUUGAAAAUCCGAUCCAAGGAAAUAGAGCAAACCUUGCUCAAAAUCCUAUCCUUAUUGUUAACGAUAUGGAUAGAGCCUUAAGACAAUAUGUCGUGCCAAUAUUUAACGAUCUUAAUUCAGGUAUUAGAAGACCCAAAAUCGAGGCGUAACAAUUCGAGCUGAAGCUAGUCAUGUUCCAGAUGCUUCAGACUACGGGGCCAAUUUAGUGGAAUGCCUACUGAAGAUCCUCAUCUUCACCUAAGAUUAUUCAUGGAGGUCAGCGAUUCUUUCAAAUUAGCUAGAGUACCCGAAGAUGCACUACGAUUGAAGCUAUUCCCGUACUCACUAAGGGACAGAGCUCGAGCCUAGUUGAAUUCAUUACCACCAAACUCAAUUUCUACAUGGCAAGAGUUAGCCGAAAGAUUUCUCAUGAAGUAUUUCCCACCUAGCAAGAAUGCUAAGUUGAGGAACGAGAUCACUGCCUUCCAACAAAUGGAUGAUGAGUCCUUGUAUGAGGCAUGGAACGAUACAAAGAACUAUUACGGAAAUGCCCUCAUCACAGAAUCCUACAUUGCAUCGAACUUGAGACAUUUUAUAAUAGUCUCAACGCUCACACGAGGAUGGUAGUGGACGCUUCUGCUAACGGUGCUCUCCUUUCUAAGUCUUAUAAUGAAGCUUACAAAAUCAUUGAGAGGAUCACUAGUAACAAUUAUCAAUGGCCAACCAAUCGAUCCGCGUCAGGAAAACGAGUCACUGAAAUACAUGAAGUGGACGCUCUCACUUCACUCGCAUCUCAGGUAUCCUCAAUAUCCUCAAUGCUUAAGAAUCUUACCACUAAUGGGUCUAAUAGUUUUGCAGCCCAACCAUCUCACCAAUUUGAGAGUAUAGCCUGUGUCUGUUGUAGGGAAGGACAUUUGUUUGAAGAAUGUCCAUCGAACCCUGAAUCCGUAUAUUACAUGGGCAACCAGAACCAAAAUCGAGGAAGGCAAGGACUGCAAUCCAAAUUCUAUAACCCAUUAUGGCGAAACCACCCGAAUUUUUCCUGGAGUAACCAAGGGGCUGGAACCAGUAACAAUUACGCCCAACAUAGACCGACCCAACCGUCUAGUUUUUCCCAACAAGUUCAGAAACCAGUUCAAACUAAACCAUCCAAUAGCUUGGAAAGUUUGCUAGAGGCAUACAUGGCGAAAAAUGAUGCCUUAAUUUAAAGCCAAGUAGCUAGAUUGAAGAAUCUAGAGAACCAGAUGAGCCAACUUGCAACUGAACUUAGGACCCGACUACAAGGUGUUUUACCAAGUAAUACGGAGAAUCCAAGAAAUUUGGGGAAGGAACAUUGCAAAACAUUAACAUUGAGGAACGGAAAGACAGUAGAGCCCAACUCUAUCGAAGCUGAAAAAGAGCCAGCUGAUGCUCAAGACUCAGAGGAAGUUCAAUCGAGUGUUGAAAUUUUAGUUUCACAAGAACCAGAAUUUACAAAACCCGACAAGGUAAUUCCAAAACCAGCUAAUUCUGAUCAACUAACAUCUCCGUUAGAUGCAGAAUUGCCACAUAAAACGAAUCAACUAGUUCCAGUAAAAAAACCACCACUACCCUACCCUCAAAGACUUUAGAAGAAAAAACAGGAAAUUCAAUUCAAGAAAUUCCUAGACGUACUCAAGCAACUUCACAUCAACAUCCCGUUGGUUGAAGCACUUGAACAAAUGGCAAACUACAUCAAGUUCAUGAAGGAUAUCCUGUCCAAAAAACAAAGACUUGGAGAAUUUGAGAUGGUAGCUCUAACGAAGGAAUCCAGCGCAUAUCUUCAAGACAAACUACCCCCAAAGCUGAAGGAUCUUGGAUGUUUUACCAUACCUUGCAACAUUGGAGCAACAUAUUGUGGUAAGGCACUAUCUGACUUGGGUGCAAGUAUAAACUUGAUGCCUAUGUCAAUAUUUAGAAAGUUAGGGAUAGGGGAAGUUAGACCUACUACGAUUACACUUUAACUAGCAGAUCGAUCCUUAGCACAUCCAGAAGGAAAAAUCGAGGAUGUAUUGGUACGUGUAGAUAAAUUUAUCUUCCCAGCUGAUUUUUUUAUCCUAGACUUUGAAGAAGACAAAGAAGUGCCAAUUAUCCUAGGAAGACCAUUCUUAGAAACCAGAAAGACCCUUAUUGAUGUGCAGAAAGGUGAGCUUACGAUGCGUGUUCAGGAUGAUCAGGUAAUAUUUAAUGUUUUUAAGUCUAUGCGAUUUCCUGACACAAUUGAUGAUUGUUCUGCAGUAUCUGAUUUAGGGGAUUUAAUAGUGGAAAAGGAGCUCAACUGUGUUGAGGAUCCGUUGGAACAAAUUUUGACAUUAGAUCUUCCAAAUGAUGAAGAUGAGGAUGAAUACUUAGCUUUGUUAGAAGCUAAUCAAAAGGGAUUUAAUCCGCAAUCCUAUUUUGAAUCUUUGGAGUUAGAGAAGAGGGAGUAUGCCCAACCAAAAAGGUCAAUCGAGGAACCAUCUAAAUUAGAACUUAAGGUAUUACCUUCACAUUUAAAAUACGUUUAUUUAGGUAACGAUUCUACUCUGCCUGUGAUUGUUUCAGCAGUAUUAACUACUGAGUAAGAAGAGAAACUCAUCUUGGUGUUGAAACAAUUUAAGAAGGCUAUUGGAUAGACCAUAGCCGAUAUUUGCGGUCUUAGUCCAUCUGUAUGCAUGCACAAGUUUAUCCUGGAAGAUGGCGAAAAAGGGACGAUUGCUGGACAACGAAGACUGAACCCCAUCAUGAAGGACGUGGUGAAAAAGGAGAUUAUCAAGUGGUUAGAUGCGGGUAUCAUUUAUCCCAUCUCAGACAGUUCGUGGGUAAGUUCGAUCCAGUGCGUACCAAAGAAGGGAGGUAUCACAGUCAUAGAGAACGAGAAUAACGAGUUGAUACCAACUAGAACAGUUACGGGAUGAAGGAUUUACAUCGAUUACCAGAAGCUGAACAAGGCGACUAGGAAAGAUCACUUUCCUUUACCGUUCUUGGACCAGAUGCUGGAUAGACUCGUAGGGCGAGACUAUUACUAUUUUCUCAAUGGAUUCUCGGGGUAUAAUCAGAUUACAGUAGCACCGAAAGAUCAACACAAGGCAAUGUUCACCUGCCCGUACGGUACAUUUGCAUUUAGACACAUGCCAUUUGGUUUAUGUAAUGGACCUGCUAUAUUUCAAAGAUGUAUGAUGUCUAUUUUUACUGAUAUAGUUGAGAAGUACUUGGAAGUUUUUAUGGAUAACUUUUCAGUAUUCGGAGAUACUUAUGAUGAUUGCUUAGCCAAUCUAGCUAGGGUACUAAGACGAUGUGAAGAAACGAACCUCGUACUUAACUGGGAGAAGUGCCAUUUCAUGGUGAGAGAAGGAAUUUUCUAGGGCAUCGGAUAACGAGACAUGGGAUCGAGGUAGAUAAAGCAAAGGUAAAUGUUAUCGAGAAACUCCCACCUCCAACAUCUGUAAAGGGUGUUAGGAGCUUUUUGGGCCAUGCUAGUUUCUAUCGAAGAUUUAUCAAGGACUUCUCCAAAAUUGCUAAACCCUUAUGCAAACUAUUGGAGAAGGACACGACGUUCAAUUUCGAUGAUGAAUGCUUAAAAGCUUUCAAGGAUUUUAAGAGUCGAUUAGCUAUGGCACCCAUAAUCAUCACACCAGAUUGGGAUUUUCCAUUUGAAUUAAUAUGUGAUGUAAGCGACUUCGCGAUAGGAGCUGUCAUGGGCCAGCGAAGGAACAAGGUUUUCCAUCCCAUCUACUAUGCAAGCCAGACUCUUAUAGGAGCUCAACUAAACUAUACGGUAAUAGAAAAAGAGUUACUUGCUAUUGUAUUUGCUUUUAACAAGUUUCAAUCUUAUCUUUUAGGUACCAAAGUAACUGUUUAUACAGACCACUCGGCAAUUAAGUACUUACUUGCCAAGAAAGAUGCUAAGCUGAGAUUGAUCUGAUGGGUGCUUCUACUUCAAGAGUUCGAUUUAGAAAUUCAAGAUCAAAAGAGAGUAGAAAACCAAGUAGCAGAUCACUUGUCCAGAUUGGAGCCGCAAGAACGGAAUUCUACUAUCAUACCAAUUUAGGAAACAUUUCCAGAUGAACACAUACUGAAGGUAAGUCAUGUCCAUAGUACCCCUUGGUUUGCUGAUAUUGCUAACCAUUUAGCUUUUGGUUUGAUGCCAACAAAGGAGAAAGUUUCUUCACUAUGUGAAGUACUAUUUCUAGGAAGAGCCAUAUUUGUUUAAAAGGUGUACGGAUCAGAUGAUCAGGAGAUGCGUGGCAGAAGAUGAAGUACAAAAGAUUUUAUACCAUUGUCACUCAGCUCCGAGUGGGGGACACUUCGGAGGUACUCGUACGACAGCCAAAGUAUUGCAAGCCAAAUUCUUUUGGCCAACACUAUUCAAGGAUGCAUAUGCGUACGUAAAGAGCUAUGACCGAUGUCAAAAGGGUCAGAAAUGUCACCAACAGAAAUGAGAUGCCUCGAAAAAACAUCAUUGAGGUAGAAUUUUUUGAUGUAUGGGGUAUUGAAUUUCUUGGUCCUUUCCCUCUGUCUUUUGGUCACAAGUAUAUAUUGGUAGCAGUAGACUAUGUGUCCAAGUGGGUCGAGGCUGAGGCUUAUCCGACAAAUGAUGCUAGGGUUGUAAUUAAGUUCUUGCAAAAACACAUGUUCACAAGGUUUGGAACCCCAAGAGCUAUCAUUAGUGAUGAAGGGUCCCGCUUCGUGAACAAGUGGUUAAGAUGGUUAUUAGACAAGCACGGAGUGAAACACAAGGUUGCAACAGCUUACCAUCCGUAGAUGAAUGGGCAAGCUAAACUGACAAAUAAGGAAAUUAGAGGCAUACUUGAGGAAGUAGUUUGCCCAAACCGACGAGACUGGUCCAAAAGGCUGGACGAUGCUUUAUGAGCUUACCGAACAACAUAAAGACGCCUUUAGGGAUGUCACCCUACAGGUUGGUCUUUGAGAAAACAUGUCAUCUACCCUUAGAGUUAGAGCACAAGGCUUACUGGGCUCUUCGACAACUCAACUUGGAUCCUAAGCUUGCUAAAGAGAAACAGAUGCUCCAACUCAACGAGCUAGAGGAACUCUGACUAUUCUCCUACGAAAAUGCCAAAUUACUCAAGGAGAGACUUAAGAAAUGGCAUGACAAGCACAUUCGAGUUCGAGAAUUUGAAACAGGUCAGCGAGUUUUGUUAUUUAAUUCCAUGCUAAAGUUCUUUCCAGGUAAGCUAAAAUCACGUUGGUCCGGUCCAUUUACGAUUCAUCGCGUCUAUCCAUACGGAGUUGUCGAGCUCCAAGGUAAGGGAGGUAAUUUUCAAGUUAACGCUCAGCGCCUAAAACACUAUUGGGGAGAUAAGAUUGAACGGAAUGAAAUUUCGUUCAUUUUAUCGGAUGUUUAAAAUUUUCUUAUUUUCCUUUUUAAUAAAUGAUUUAGGGUAUAUUUUCAGGAUUAGCAUGUUUAAAUAAAUUCUGUCUAGGAGAUUGGAACUUAAGCGGGACCGCUUGUGACCCCUCCAAUCUUCCCUGGGAAUUGAUUUUAACAAAUUUUUUUGAAAAAUUAUUCUCUAAAUAGAAAUUUUAAUCUUUGAUUUUUCAAAUAAAAGGGUCAAUUUUGAUCCAAGUCUUAAAUCGCAGCUCAAUUCCAAAUUUUCAUUAAGUCUAGGACUUAAUUGAAUUAUUUUUAAAAUUUGGUUGCUCUUUUCGUAAAUAAUAAAAACUAGAUGCCUCAUUUUGUAAAUAUUUUCAAAAGGCUUAUAAAAUAAAUGUUUUUAGUUUUAAAAUAAAAGAUAAUUAUUAAUAUAUAAUUAUAUCCAUUAUAAUAUAUAUUAAUUAUUAUCAAAUUUUAGUAUUUUAUUUGAUAAGUUUUUAAUAAUAAUAAGAUGAUAAUCUUUAAUAUAUAAUUAUAUCUAUUAUAAUUUAUAUAUUAAUCUUUAUUAAUUUAGCAUAGAAUUAGGAUUAGUUUUAAUCAUAUUUUAUCUUUGUUUAAAUAAAUUAAAUAGCAAUUAAUAAUUUAAUAUGCAUAAAUCUAAUUAUUAAUUGUUGUUAUCUUUGUAUAGGAUUAGAACUUAGAAUUUUUAUUAAUUAAAUUGCUUUAAGAAUUCUAUUUUAAUUCCUAUUGUUCCCUCUAUAAAUUCCACCCAUCUUCCCAUUCAUCUAUCACUCAAAACCCAAAGCACUAAAACACCAAAGUGCCGAAACCCCUAGCCACAGCAGAAACCAGCAGUUGGCCAGCACAGGCCCAGCUCCAUCGCAAGCCCAUCUCGUGCACACCACGCGUGCAUUGCCGCUUGCUGCACCAGCCUCAGCUCGCGCCAGGCCUUCAUCCCGCGCGCUAUACCUGCCUUCUUGCAUCAUCCUGCACGCGCCUAAUUGAUACCUGUUGCCGAACGCCCGUGUCACUACCUGCUUCAAGCCCUGUUGCGCAUCACUGCUCCCACACACACCACGCCCGCACGCCCUAGCUACUUGUGCGACAUUCUUCAUUCAUCCAUCCUAAGCUACAAACCCUCCAAACAUCCUUUUAAAUUGCCAUCUUUUCCUUAAUUAUUAUUAUUAUUAUUUUUUUUACAAAAGGUGGUGAGACCAAUUUUUCUCUUAAACUUUUAAUUUUAUUAAGUUAUUUAAUUGUUCAGGUUCUUCAAUUAUUAAUUUCUAUAAAUUAAAUUUUUGAGAAAAUAAAUUUUCCCAUCUAUGAUCAGGUUAAUUAUGCCUUGCAAGAGAAGUCGUGCUUCCGCUCAAAUUAAUGAAACACAAAACAAAUUCCACUGUGAAGAAACCAGUGUGAGAUACGAAAGUAUCUUCAAAAAUCAACAGAUGCAUCCAGAAAAAGACUUUACAUUAAAGGAAAGCAACUAUAGAGACUUUAUGGCAAGUAUUCGUCAAGUUGCUGAAACCCUCAAUUGGGAGCUAUUUUGCGAAAAGAGACCUAGUGUGGAUGAGGAGCUAGUUCGUGAGUUCUAUGCAAAUUUAACUUCAAGCGAGAUGACAGAAGUCCAGUUCACGGAAUCAAGGUAUUGAUAAAUUCAAAUGCUAUUAAUGAGUUCUUUGAAUUACCAGAUUUCAAAAAUGAUGAAUAUUCCACAUUGAUGAGCAAUAUCAAGCCUGAAAAUUUGCAAGAAAUUCUCGAGGAACUAACAAUUCAGGGGACUGUGUCAAAACAAGGAAUCCACACUUGUCGAAGAGAAUAUUUGAUGCCACUCGAGAAGAUAUGGUUUUACUUCAUCCAAUUCAGCCUUAUGCCUAGCUCACAUGGGACUACAAUCUCAUUAGAGCGAAUGGUCUUAUUGUACUCGAUCCUAACUGGAAAGACCAUUGAUGUGGGGAAGAUCAUUUUGAGGGAAAUACGGAAUUGUACCGUUACGCACUCUGGCCCUGCUCACUUCCCUUUUACAAUAACAAUUUUAUGCUUGAAAGCUGAAAUUCUUGUGAAUGUAAGGAAGACGGGGUAUAGCCAAGGCACAAUCACGGAUUGGGACCUUUACCGAGUAGCUGGAGACUCAAUUCUAUAGAAACGAGUUGAAGUAAGUGAGGAGCCGGAGGACCCUGAUGAAGAAGAAGAUCCCACGAUGCAAUCAUUUGAAAUCCCUGAUAAGGUAGAAUCAGUGGAGCCAGAAGUUGAACCUGAUACUGAAACUUCAAUGUUUAGAGCUCAAUCGCCUAGCCUAGACCUUCGAGAUGAGCUAUCAAAUUUGAUCGACUUAAUGCAACAUAUGUAAUGGCAGCAACAAGCCUACUGGAGAUACUAAAAAAUAAAGGAUAACUCGAUGAGAAGUGCUUUUAAGAAAAUAUACAAUGACCUGUUUAUUUUUGUGCCUAAGUUUCCAGAUUUCAUAGUUGAACCAUGGAGUCCAUUAUCAAAGAAGGAGCGAAGCGAUUCAUACAAAGGCGAUAGCGAUGGAGCAAAAGAUGAGUCAAAUUCAAAAGGGUCUGCAAAUAAAUAAAGGGUGGAUCUUGACUUUACUUUAUUUUUUCUUAGAAUUUUUUUAGGAUUAAGUUUAAUUAGAAAUAUUUUAUUUUUGCAUAAUAAAACAAGAGAGGAAAAUCACUAAUAAAACGUGAGCAAGUCACAAAGUAUAAAGUGUGGCAAUAGAUAUAUACAUGUCUAGGAUUGGAUUUAGAAAGAGCUUGGUACUUAAGCAGUCAAAUUGACUCACCUCCUCUUUUCUAAAAUCCUACCUGGUGUAUAGUAUCUAUUCACUUUAAACAAUGAGGACAUUGUUCAUCUUAAGUUGGGGGGACCGAAAAUUUAAAUUAUUUCCACUCAGAAUAAAAUUUUUCUUUUAAUUAUGAUUAGGAUAUAUUUUGUUCAAAAAUUUGAAUUUUGUUAAGUAUGCUCAAUAUGAGUAUGAAUAAAGUUCUAUUAUUUCAAUAAAUUAUUAUAUUAGCUUAAUAAUGACAUGAAUGUAUUUUUAAUAAAGCAUGCAAAUUUGUACCAUAAAAUUUUUAGUUCUUUAGGAAAGUUAGGUAUGCAUGAAAGGUUAAGUCUUUAGAAUUGACUUAGUAGUUUCUUGAGGCGAAAUCCUAGGGAGCAUGGAACGUUGGAAAUGAUUUAGGCAACUAUUGUUUGGACCGUUUGAGCCUUUCAAGCCCACCAUGGUAAAAUUUUAUCCUUUGAAACCCAACUUUGAGACUAUAUGGCCUAAUUUUAUUUCGACCCUUGCAAUAAUUAGCUAUUACUUUUUCGCUUAAUGAUCUUAAAAUUGUCCCAAACACUAGACUCAGUAAUAUUCAAAUGUACUUCGAAAAUAAGUUUAGGGGAGUUGAAAAGAAGUAUCAAUUGCUCGAGAAUUGCAGUAUACAAAGUAAGUGCUCGUAAUUAAAAAAAAAGAAAAGAAAAGAAAAGAAAAGAGAGCACCUGUAUUUGAAAGAGAUGUACAAAAGAGCAUAUGAAAGUCAAGUUGGUGUAUUGAAGGUGGAAAUUCCGAAGGUUCGAUUGACGCUGAGUCUAGGGUUUUUAAACCAAAAUUCAUCCAUCUUUCACCUACCCCUAGCCUAGCCACGUUACAAUCUUGAUAAAGACCUAUUGAUUCAAAGUCCUAAUGCUACCUACAUUAGUGGAGAGAAAUUUCUACGAUCAACAUAUGAAGACAUAAGUUAAGCUUAAUGAUUGUAGCCUAGUCUUGAAUAAAGGACUCAAAGUCAAAUUGGUAAGGGUUAACAUGUCUUUGUUGCAAAAGCAUUUAGUCUAAAUUUUGCUAUUAUAAUAAGUUGCUGAAUUUAUUUGAAUGAUAUGUAUACUUAAGUAGCAUAACUAUCAGGUUUCUUGUCUUUGAGCAUAAGUAUUCUAAAUUCAUAAUUUUGGAAAAAAUGUUGUUCUAAAGGAAUUUUUCAAAGGUGUUUUCGAGAAAUUCUUUUCAAAAUUUGUGCAUUAUUCAGGACGAGCAAUGAAUUAAGUUUGGGGAUUGUGGAAACACAAAAAUUUAUAUACUUUUUCCUACCCAUUUUUACUUAAAUCAUGCAAAUCUGGUUAAAUUCUUGUCGAAAAAUAAUUAAAUAUUAUAAAAUAAUUAAAUUGUGUUAAAAAUAUGAACAUGGUGAAUUUAGUUAAUUUUAUACUUAAUUUUGAUUAAAUUUUGACUAUUUUUGACAAAUUUGGGCAAAGGGCGAAAAUUGGCUCGGUUGACACUAUUGAAAGCACAAAAUCGAGAAGCAAUUUGAAGUAUCGAGGCACAUUAAUUUCCAGCCUAGGAUGGUCCAAAAAUGUGUUUUAAUUCUUAAUUUAAUUAAUUUUAAUUUAUUCCCCAUUUAAUUUGGGUUAAAUAAAUUAUUUUUAAUUAAUUAUGAAGAAAGGGUCUAGUUGAACCGCACCGGUCGAACCAUAUUGAGUGAACCGAACCAGCCACUAAAUGGGCAGCCCAGAACAGUCCAUAGGCUAACCCAAAUCAGCAUUUUAGCUGAUUAAAUAUGCUUGCAAAUAGGCCUUUGAAGAACUUUCAAAAUGCAUUCAAACCCAUCCUUUAAUUGUGGCUUUAUGAAAUUGCCCCAAGCUUAAAAUAGCAAAGUUGAAACUCUCAACUUUGCCAUGUGUGUGGCCGGCCAUAGGGGGGCUCUUUGGCUACUGGAAUUUUCUAUUUUUAGCAGCCAAAAUCAGCUAUAAAAGCCACCCCUUGCUGAUCAUUUAAACCAUCCCUCAUUCCAAAAGAUUCUCUCAUUCCCUCUCACUUUUCUCUCAUUUUUCCAUCCCAUUUCCCUCUUGUUCAAGUGCCGAUUUCUUCUCUUGGGAAAGAGGAUCUCAUCAUGUGACAGCCCUAAUUUGACCCUAGCCGGAAUGUGGUUUCGGGACCACAAAACAGAGUCAUAAAAUUUAUUAAAAAUUAAUUUUCAUAUCUUCUAUGUGUGAUAGUGCAUGUGUGAAAAUUUUGAUGUUUUAAUUUAGUCAUAUGAAUGUGAAUUUCUUUUGAAAGGACUUAGUUGAGAAACUUAGAAAAUAUGUUAGGUAAAUGUGUGAGGACCAAAUAAUUUCAAAGUAUGAAAGUUUGGGUUUGCAUGUCAAAAUGCCCAAUAUGCAUUAAGUGGCCGGCCAAGUAAUGAUGUCCCUCCACUAAGUUUAAUUUAAUUAAAAUAUUAUAUUGAUAAGUGAUUAAAACAUCAUAAAUAAUAUGAGUUAAAAAUAAAAAAAGAUGAAUAAAAGAAGAAAUUGAAACAUAAGUGUUCAUCAUCUUCUUCUUGCAAAAUCGAAACAAAAGGAAAGAAAAAGAGAAAUUACACUAAGGCAAUUCGACACCUUCUUUUGCUAGUUGGAGGUAAGUUUUGAAGUGAUUUUGAAAUCUUUUUAUAUGUUUAAGUUAAUUGUUAAAUGCAUUUCUUAGCCAUGUCAAGAAAAUCAAAUUUCUAUGGUGGUUUGGGCACUAAGCCGUGUAUCAAGAUGUUGGAAUUAGAGGUUGUUUUCAUGUUGUAUUGAAUAAGUAAAUGUUAGAAUGAGGUUAAACUUGUUGAAUUGUUAGUUGGGUAAUACUUUGUGCAUUCGGCCAUAUGGGGUUGGAAUGGAAUGUUCAUUUUAUUUUUAUUUUCUUGUAUGAGAAAUGGUUCAAAUAAGUGUUAAGGCCGAAUGAGUCAUGUCGAAACCAUUCUUUUGAAAACGGGGAUCGACUUUGUUUGAAAGUGAAAAUUAAAAUGGGAGUCGCCACCGAUCUUUUUUUUGUGUGAUCGGAUCACCUUUGUUUUAAUAAAUCAAUUUUAGUUUACUAAAACAGGGCCUUUGGUCUACGAAGCUUGAGAGAAUGAGUUCGGGAGUCAGUUACGUGCGAGGAAGGAUUAGCACCCUCGACACGCCCAAAAAUUUGUACCGAGUUGAUUAGUUAGUGUCUUAAUGUCGAAAAUUAAAAUUCGGGAAGGGACUUGAAAUACGAUCUUUUCUAUUAAUACUGAUUUUAAAAUUCUUGAAUUGGCUUAAAUCGAUUUGUUUAAAGAUUUCCUUAUCUCGAGAUAUUGGAGUAUCACAUCCCGUAAGUUAGGACACAAUACCAUGAAUUCCCGAGCACAAGGUCGUCUUUUAAUUUAUAUUGGAAAUCCGUGUAUUUCAAAACUCAAAAGGAUAUUUAGCUAUUUAGAACCAACGAGAGAACCGAAACCCCGUAUGUUAGGGCACACUUCUUCGACGUUCCAGAAUGCGAAACAUUGCCUUAUUUAUUGAAAUUAGUAAAAACAUGAAUAAAAAUCUUUAAAGUAAUGAACAACAGAAUGAUAUAAAAUGGGCAGGAGACAAAAAAUAAACGAGUUGGAAAUACAUUGAAACAAAUAAUAAAUAUGACAAAAAUAUUAAAACAAUAACAAUGCAUGCGAUAUAUUAAACGUAAUAAUAGCAUCCAACGUGAAAUAAAAACAAUGAAUAUAUACAUAAUAAAGAUAUUGAGAGUAUGUACGUAAUAUAUAUAUAUAUAGUAAUAGUGUUAGAAAUAUACUAUAUAUAGUGUUUGAAGUAUAUACAUAAGAUAGUAAAAAUAUAUAACUAGUAAUGUUAAAAUAUAUAUAAUAUAUACAUAUAUAUAUAAAAUAAAUAUUGAAAAUUGUAUGUACAUAACGUAUAUGAAAAAUAUAUACAUAAUAAUAUUAAAAUAAAAUAAUAAAUGAUGACAGUGAAAAUAAUAGGUAUAGUAAUAAAUAUAAUGAUAUAUGAAAAUAAUACUAUGUAUAAAAGUAUAUAUAUACUUGUAUAAUAAAAUGUAUAUACUAGUAUUAACAAUAUAAUAGGGAUAAAAAUAGAUAUAAUAAUAAUACAUACAUAAUAUGGUAUUAAAAGUAUUUACAUAGCAUUUACAUAUUAGAAACAAUAAUGUUAAAAGUACCUAUUAAUAAUAUUAUAUAAAUAAUAAUAAUAAUAAUAAUAAUAAUAAUAAUAAUAGCAAUAAUAGUAAAAAUACAAAAGAAAGUAUGACGUAAUAAUGAGGUAAGGAAAAUAAAAUAUAAUAUAUUAGAUAUAUAAAUAUAAUAGUAAAUAUAAUAAUGUUAAAAAAUACCAUACAUAAAGAGUAUAUAUAAACAUAUAUAAUAAAAAUAUACACUAAUAUUUAUAAAUAAUAGUAGUAAAUGUAAUAAUAAUAAUAUUAAGUAUAGUAUAAAUAAUAUGUAUACACUAAUAUUUAUAAAUAAUAUUAAUAAUAAUAAUGAUAAUGAUAAUAAUAAUAUUAAGUAUAGUAUAAAUAAUAUGUACAUAACAGUAAUAAUAAUAAGUAACAAUAAUAAUAAUAAUAAUAAUAUAGAAAUUCAAAAAAACUAAACAUAAUAUAAUAAUAUUAAAAUAAAAUAAUUUAAAAAAUACUAUGUAGAUAUAAAUACAUAUACGUAUGUAAAUAAAAUAUACACUAAUAUAAUAAUAAUGAUAAUUGAAUAAUAUUUAAAAUGAAAUAAAAUAACAAAGAUAAUACGAAAAUAAACUAAAAUCUAAAAAAGGACUAAAUUUUGAACAAAAACAAAGUUUUGGGGUAAUUUUAAAGAGAAAUAAAGAAAAAGGAUCAAAAUGCUACACGCGCAUAACCUGGGAGGACUAAAAUAACAAAUAUUCCUUUCCAUCAAAACACAAUAUAUCAGUGGGGACUAAAUUGAAAAGCGCGACAACUUCCUGGGGCAAAUUUUAAAAUAAAAAAAACUUGAUUGCAAAAGCUUGAAAACGCGGAAGGACCGUACGCGCAAAUUCCCCAUUUUUCAAAAACAUGCGGAUCCUGAGGUGAGUCGGGUCGGGUCGGAUCAGGUCGCAUCAAAACGAUGUCGUUUUGGGAUUAAAUGGCAGCCCCCAAAACGACGUCGUUUUGGGAGGCUAUAUAAAGGCCAAAAUUAACAAAAAAAAUCAUUUGGUGAGGAGAGAAAGAAAAAAAAAAGGAGAGAAGGAAGAGAGAAGGGAGAGGGAGGAGGACUUCAGGCCAUGGACCGAUCACCGGUCUGAUCGCCGGACCGUCGCUGGCCGCCGCCGCCGCCGCCGCCGGCCACCGUGGAUGGUGGCCGGAAAAGGUAAAUAUUUUUUUUUGCUUAAUAAUAUAUGUAUAUAUAUGUAUAUGUGAUUGAGUAAACGAGAAAGGAGUAAAAGAAACCGAUUUAAAAAAGGAAAAUCACCUUAAGGUUUCGGCUACUGUUUUGGUGUUUUUGACUGUUUUUCUUUGGACUGCUUUGUUUAUUUUUGUGUACUAACACAUUGUUUGGCUUUUUUUUCAAAGAUCUGAUAUUUUUAUUUCUCAAAACAGCCCCCUGUACAUUGAUCUCAUUUCGGCUUUUAUAGCAUUUACAAGUUCUUUUUCUAUUAUUUUUUACUAUUGUUGCGUGCUUGCUUCCUUCCUCUGUCUUUGCAGGUGCGGUGGGAGUGUGUGAUGGUGCUGGUGGCUGACAACAUGGGAGAUUGGGGAGAGGCAAGUGGCUGAGUCAGCCGAAUUUAGGGACUAGGGUUUCGGUUGGGCUAGCUUAGGGUUAGGGGUAAUAGUUGUAAAUGGGUCAAGGGAUUUGGGUGUAAAUGGGCCAUUCGGGUUUGGGUAGUUAAAAGGGGUAAAUGGGUAAUUGGGUUUAUCUUAUUGGGCUCCGGGUAUUGUAAUGUAAAUGGGCUUAUGGGGUUUAAUGUAAAUGGACCCAAAAUUGGCCUAUAACAGCUGCCCCUCUUUGCUCAUUGUCGUAUAACGGGAAUAGAGCAAAGACACAAAGAAAGGCCAAUUUUGCCUAAUCUCGUCGAGUCUUGACUUCUUUGGUGCUUCUCUUGUUCAUGUAGUCUCUUUUCAGUCCACCCUAUCUUGUAGCUUUGGUUCAAUCUAUUGCAUCUUUUGAUAUAUGCCUUGUAGCUUUAAACUAUUCCAAUGUAACUUCAAGGAUAUAAAAUUUGUAGCUUUGAUUUGCUUCACUGCAUCUUUAGGAAGGUGAGAUCUACAACUUCAAUCUGUUCUUCUAUCGCUUCAAUGAGGUAAGGUUUGUAGUCUUUUCUUCUGCGACUUCAGAAAGGCAAGAUCUGAUGUCCUCGAUUAACUCCGCUGCAACUUCAGGGAGACAAGUUCUGGUGUCUUCAAUUAGCUCCAAUCUUUAUUCUCUCGCAAUAUGAGUUGAUUUUGACAAACAGGAAUUGAAAUUACCUCAACAUGUCCUGAGGCUCAACUCACCUCUCGCAAUAUGAGUUGAUUUUCUUUCUUUCUUUUUUUUUGAAAGGCAAAAAUUGGAAAGCAGAAAUUGAAAAUACCUCAGCGUGCCCUGACGUUCAACUCACCUCUCGCAAUAUGAGUUGAUUUUUGAAAAACAGAAAUUGAAAUUACCUCAGCGCGUCCUGAGGCUCAACUCCCCUCUCGCAAUGAGUUGAUUUUUUUGAAAGACAAAAAUUGAAAUACCUCAGCAUGUGAGGCUCAACUCAUUUCUCGCAAUAUGAGUUGAACCUCUCGCAAUAUGAGUUGAUUUUGAAAAAAAAUUGAAAUUACCUCAGCGUGUCCUGAGGCUCAACUCAUCUCUCGCAAUAUGAGUUGAUUUUUUUGAAAACUUAAAAAUUUUGAAAAACAGAAAUUGAGGCUCAACUCACCUCUCGCAAUAUGAGUUUUUUUGAAAAUAGAAAUUGAAAACAGAAAUUGAAAAUACCUCAGCGUGAGCCGCUCAACUCACCUCUCGCAUAUGAGUUCAUUUUUGAAACAUAAAUUAAACAAAAAUUGAAAUCUCAGCGUCCUGAGCUCAACUCACCUUCUCGCAAUAUGAGUUGAUUUUUUGAUUAAAAUAGAAAGAUAGAAAUUGAAAUACCUCAGCGUGUCCUGAGGCUCAACUCACCUCUCGCAUAAUAUGAGUUGAUUUUUGAAAACAAAAACAGAAUUGAAAUUAGCUCACGUGUCUGAGGCUCAACUCAUUCUCGCAAUAUGAGUUGAUUUUGAAAACUGAAUUAAAACAUAAAUUAAAAAAAUUACCUCAGCGUGUCCUGAGGCUCAACUCACCUCUCGCAAUAUGAGUUGAUUUUUGAAAAAAAAACAGAAAUUGAAAAUACCUCAGCGGUCUUGAGGCUCAACUCACCUCUCGCAAUAUGAGUUGAUUUUUGAAAACAUGAAUUAAAACAGAAAUUGAAAACAGAAAUUGAAAAUACCUCACGUGUCUGAGGCUCAACUCACCUCUUGCAAUAUGAGUUGAUUUUGAAAAAGAAAUAAAAAGAAAUUAAGCUCAACUCACCUCUCGUAAUAUGAGUUGAUUUUGAAAAUAGAAUAAAACAUCAAAAUACCAAAACCUGUCAUCUGGUGGAACUCAGUCUUUUCCUUUGAUUCAGUACUAUAUCAUAUCUUUCGCUCUACUGAGUAUCUGUAUAUGUCAUGCAUGAUGUUAUCAUGAUAUGCACAUGUUUGUCUUAAAUGCCUUUAUGCCUACAUGAUUAUGCUAUGAGCUUUAGGCAUGUUUGUCUUAUGUCCUUCUUCGUCAUGAUUUUUGCAAUGACAUGUACUCAUUACUUCAGCUCUUGACUUUCUCUUUAGGCCCUGUACCCGUUCUUAGGCUUCACAAACAAUCUGCGUUUCUCAGUUAUUGCUCUCUUGCCCCUGGUUGAACUUUGUCCUUGCUUUGAGGCUCUUGUACUUAUCAAGUUCUUAUCCAGGUAGUGCUUAACAUUUCUUUUGUUUAGAGUAUGUCAUUACACUAUUUAUCAUGAAAAUAAACGACAUAAUGAGAUGCAAGAAAAUGGUCAGGUAGGGACAAAAUGAUACCUCACAUUUAUUUAUUUCAAACGUAGCAAACAAAGAAAAUUAACCAAUGAUAACGAAAAAAUGUCAUAAAGAGAAAAGGGAUCGCAUUCAAUGGAUACAGAUGCUCUAUAUAUUCAACACACGAGCUCUUCCAUGUUUCUUAUCAAGAAUCUUUUCGAGCAUGGCUUCUGUAGAGGAUUUCAAGCUAUUGAAAAAUGCUUCAAAUACUGUAGUCUCGCUGUUUAACCUACCGUUCAACCGCCUUGCUCUUUAAGUCCGGGUUUGCUUCAUUAGAAUGCCCUUUCGGGUUUUCAUCCUAAUCUUUUGUGUUAAUCAAGAUGCCCUUUUUGGGUUUUCACAUUGAUCUUUUUUUUCUUUUUAGGCAUAAUAUUUCUUCACAGCAUCUGAGUUCACUGAAUUCGGUAACUCCUUCCCAUCCAUCUCAGUGAGAAUCAAAGCCCCGCCCGAGAAUGCCUUCUUUACGACGUAUGGUCCUUCCCAAUUUGGUGCCCAUUUUCCUCUUAAGUCCUUCUGUAUUGGGAGAAUCUUUCUCAGUACGAGUUCUCCUUCGUGGAAUUCUCUUGGCCGUACUUUCUUGUCAUUGGCCGCGAUCAUUCUCUUCGGUACAUUUGUCCGUGACAAAUUGCCUUUAAAUGUUUUUCUUCGAUGAGGUUUAACUGGUCAUAUCGAGCUCGAACCCAUUCUGCUUUCUCUAGUUUCGACUCCAUUAAGACUCAUAAAGAGGGGAUUUCAACUUCGAUGGGUAGCACAGCCUCCAUUCCAUAGACCAGAGAGAAAGGAGUUGCUCCCGUAGAUGUCCGUACAGAUGUGCGAUAUGCAUACAAAGCAAAUGGUAGCUUCUUGUGCCAGUCUUUAUAUGUCUCGGUCAUUUUCCCAAUAAUCUUCUUAAUAUUCUUGUUGGCCGCUUCAACAGCUCCAUUCAUUUUCGGGCGAUAGGGCGAUGAGUUAUGAUGUUUUAUUUGAAAUUGCUCACACACUUCAUUCAUCAUCUUGUUGUUCAGAUUCAAAGCGUUAUCUGAAAUGAUUCUUUCAGGCAAACCAUAUCGACAAAUGAUUUCUUUUUUCAAAAAUCUGCAAACUGCAGUCUUUGUCACAUUGGAAAAUGAAGCAGCUUUUAUCCAUUUUGUGAAGUAAUCAAUAACCACAAAAAUGAACUGGUGUCCAUUAGAAGCUUUUGGGGAAAUUGGCCCUAUAACAUCCAUGCCCCACAUAGAAAAGGGCCAUGGAGAAGCCAUGACAUGAAGGGGCGAAGGGGCUACAUGAAUCUUAUCGCCAUAAAUUUGACAUUUGUGGCAUUUUCUUACAAAACUAAUGCAGUCGCUUUCCAUCGUCAGCCAGUAGUAACCGAGUCUCAUAAUCUUCCUGGCCAUAGUGAAGCCAUUGGCAUGUGUCCCACAAAUUCCCUCGUGGACAUCUUCAAGUAUUUUUCUGGCUUCAACAGCAUCUACGCAUAUCAAGAGUACCUGAUCUUUUCCUCUUUUGUACAGGAUAUCCCCAUCAAGAACGAAUCCAGCUGUCAUUCUUCUAAUUGUCCUUUUGUCAUUCUUAUUUGCUUGUUCGGGAUACCUUUGAUUCUUGAUAUAUUCUAAGACAUCAUGGAACCAUGGUCAUCCAUCUGGUUCUUUUUCAAUGCUGAAACAAUGUGCAGGGACUUCAUAUAUGCUCAUUUGAAGAGGCAUUAUUUCUGUUUCUCUAUUUGCUUUGAACAUUGAAGCCAAAGUGGCCAAGGCAUCAGCCAAUUGGUUUUCUUCUCGUGGGAGGUAAUUAAAAGUUAUUUCUUCAAAUUCUUUAAUCAACUCUGCCACUAGAUCACUGUAUUUAACCAGUUUCGAAUCUCUCACUUCCCAAUCUCCACGGAUUUGGUAAAUCACCAAGGCUGAGCCUCCGUAUACCUCUAAAGUUUUGACGUUUCGUUCAAUAGCUGCACGAAGUCCCAUGAUACAUGCCUCAUAUUCUGCUAUGUUAUUGGUACAGAAGAAAUUCAGCUGGCAGUGAGUGGGUAAUGGUUCCCUUCUGGCGAUACUAAGACUGCUCCAAUCCCAUGCCCUAAUGCGUUCGAUGCACCAUCAAAGCUCAUCCUCCAUGACUUCUUUUUUUGAUGACUCUCCCUCUUUUUCUGUAAUGCACAUCAAAUCUUCAUCCGGGAAAUCAAAUUUCAAUGGCUCAUAUUCAUCCAUUGUUCGGGUUGCUAAGAAGUCAGCUAUUGCGCUCCCCUUUAUUGACUUCUGACUUACAUAGGCAAUGUCGUAUUCUGAUAGGAGGAUCUGCCAUCGUGCGAUUCUUCCUGAGAGUACCGGUGAUUCUAUCAUGUAUUUUAUUAGGUUCAGCUUUGAGAUUAACCAUGUCGUAUGAUACAACAUAUAUUGCCUGAGUCUCCGAGCUACCCAAACCAGAGCACAACAGUAUUUUCCAAUGGACGGAUACUUUGCCUCAUAUUCAGUGAACUUUUUGCUGAGGUAGUAGAUUGCCUUUUCUUUCUUUCCUGACUCGUCGUGUUGCCCCAGAACGUAGCCCAUUGAAUUUUCAAACACAGUCAAAUACAAUAUCAAUGGUCUUCUUGGAGUUGGUGGUACUAGCACUGGAGGACUAGACAAAUAUUGUUUUAUCUUAUCAAAGGCCACCUGGCAUUCCUCAUUCCAUUCUCUCGGGUUAUGUUUUCGAAGAAGCCGAAAGAUUGGGUCGCAUUGGUUGGUAAGUUGAGCGAUGAAUCGGGCGAUGUAGUUUAACCUCCUUAAAAAUCCUCUGACUUCCUUUUGCGUGCGCGGAGGUGGUAACUCUUGAAUGGCUUUUAUUUUAUCUGGAUCAACCUCGAUACCUCUUUCACUGACAAUGAAGCCUAGCAACUUUCUCGAGGUAGCCCCAAACGUACAUUUGGCUGGAUUAAGCUUUAGCUGAAACUUUCUCAGCCUUCUGAACAACUUUUUGAGGUUCACUACAUGCUCUUCUUCGCCUCGGGACUUGGCAAUCAUAUCGUCAACGUAGACCUCUAUUUCUUUAUGCAUCAUGUCAUUGAAUAGCGUCACCAUAGCCCUCUGAUAUGUUGCCCCAGCAUUUUUUAACCCAAAUGGCAUUACUUUGUAGCAGAACAUUCCCCACAUCGUUAUGAAGGUAGUUUUCUCCAUAUCUUCCGGGGCCAUUUUGAUCUGAUUGUACCCCGAGAAUCUGUCCAUGAAGGAAAAUAACGAAUGUUUUGUCGUGUUAUCCACCAAUGUAUCAAUGUGCGGUAAGGAAAAUUAUCUUUAGGACUUGCUCGAUUCAGGUCACGAUAAUCCACACACAUUCGUACUUUUCCGUCUUUCUUUGGUACCGGAACUAUGUUAGCCACCCAUUCUGGAUAUUUGGAGGCUUGUAGAAAGUCAGCAUCAAAUUGCUUCUUAACUUCUUCUCUUAUUUUCAACAACAUCUCAGGUCUCAUCCGUCUUAGCUUUUGUUGAAUGGGCUUGCAUUCUGGAUUUAAUGGGAGCUUAUGGAUCGCUACAUCUUCAUCCAAUCCUGGCAUGUCCUGAUAUGACCAUGCGAAUACAUCUUUGUACUCGCGGAGCAAAGCAAUCAAAUUAUGCCUGGUGCCCCCUGAAAUAGAAGUCCCAAUCUUCACUUCUUGCUUUCUUUCUUCAGUUCCCAGAUUUAUUGUUUCAACAGAUUCUUGAUGAGGCAAAAUCUGUUUAUCCUCUUGUUCCACCAUUCUUAGCAAGUCAGGAGACGAGACAUAGUCUUCAGCAUUUUCUUCGGCUUCGAAUUCUCCUAAACAAACAACCUUCUCAAAAUUAAUUUCAGGACUCGUAACGGGUUUGUUCAUGCUGUUGACAUCUGAGCACCUGAAAGUUGAAUGGAAAAGGAAACUAUAGAGGGGCAUCCAAGUAUUGGAACCAACAAACGAAAUGUUAUGGCAUGGCAUGAGGCAAAUGUAAGGAUUGGCUAUGAAAUGAGAAAAUGAUUAUGAAAUUAGUGAUAAUGUGAAAGAUUAUAACAAAAUGCAUCUUCAUUGAUAUUCAUUUGAAUGAUAAAGAGCGAAUGUAGGCUCUUACAAGAGAAUUCUAUUAUAUCUAAGGACAUAACAGAAUGUUAACGUUUGAGCAUUACUCUGAAGACUUAUAAACUACAAGAAGAUCCUCGAUAGUCCAAUUGUUCAACCUGAAACCCAGGGGACAAGGACGUAUCCUUGAGAUGUCUUUACUUGCUUUAGCUCCUUUGUCAAUGACGUUUAUACUGAUAUUCUGAAAACCCUUUUCGAUCAUUAACAUUGUGCCUUGUGCAUUAUCCCGCCCCGGGUAUAUCAUUCCCGCAGACAUAAAUAGGCUCCCAUUCUGGUUCUCGGCCUAAGGUUCUCGCGAUCCUUCUUUCCUGAUCUUUCUUCCACUGCCUUCUUCUUUGACGCAUGUCCGGCUGGAAACCUAAACCGUAUCGGGCCUUGUGGUGUACUGGCAUUAGAGCCCUAACUAUUCCUUACAGAUAUCUCCCUAAACCUCUUCUCGCUCGAGCUCCCCUUCCUAUAGUCAACUUGAUACCCAUCCUGGUAUUUCUUGACAGUUUUGGCUCGGGAAUUUUGUUACCCUCAGCGAUGAAUGUGGCAUUGACAAAUUCAAGGGAUCAGAAGGAACAUUCUACUGCGUCUUUGCUUACUUCAAGGUAUGGCACAUCAGCAGAGAUAUAUGCGACAAUGUCUUCUUCUCCCUUGACAGUGACCAAACAACCAUCCAUGAUAAAUUUUACCUUUUGAUGGAGGGAUGAUGGGACUGCUCCAACAGAAUGGAUCCAAGGUCUUCCCAAGAGACAAUUGUAUGAUAGUGUAAUGUCCAUGACUUGAAACUCAACAUAGUAUAUGUAGGGACCCACUUCUAGAGGGAUCUCGAUUUUUCCCAUAACUUCUCGUCUUGUUCCAUCGAAUGCCCUUACUGUAGAAUGGAAGGGCCUUAGAUAGGACAAAUCUAUCGGAAUCCUGAAAAGUGUGGCCAAAGGCAUGACAUUGAGUGCCAAUCCAUUGUCGAUGAGCACGUUCGGUAUUAUAUAGCCCUUACAAUGGGUUGUGAUAUGCAAUACUUUCACUGAGUCUCUACCAUUGGGCGGUAUUUCAUCAUCACUAAAAGAAAUGAAAUUAUCCGCAUUAAAGUUGUUCAUCCAUCUAUCCAGUUUUUCAACGGAUACAUUGUUUGCCACAUAAGCUUUGAUUUAACACUUUCAGCAGAGCGUUCCGGUGUGGUUCUGAAUUCAACAGCAGAGAUAAUACUGAGAUUCGCGCUGGCUGCUUACUCAAUUGUUCUACCACGUUGUACUCACUGUGCUUGAUAAAUUUUAAGAAUUCCUGUGCUUCCUCCUCGUCCACAGGCUUUUUAGCUUCUUGUUCAGGCACAGUUUCAUGCUCACCUUCGGUCACGUGCAUCGGUGCUUUUCCUUUCUGUUUCAAGUUACUGUUCUUCUUCACCUCCUUCGAAUAACAUCUUCCACUACGAGUGAAAUGACCUACUUCCCCGACACUUCCAGUCAUGGCUUUGGGUUUUUCAUCUUCAGGUGUGACGAUAUUAACGUCAUAUUUCCAUGGUACUGCUUUAUUGUCCUUGUAAGGGAAAGGAGACGGUACUUCAAUUAUCAUUUUUGGUUUCUUUGGUUCCUUCCUUGCAUCGUAAUAAAUUACGAAUGGUCAUCGGUGCUAUACGAAAAACCUGACGAUUGAUUGUCAGAGGCACAUACUUCUUUCUCAUUGGCCUCUCCUUCAUUAAUGAUCUCAAUCUCCUUAUUAUCUAUCCGGUCUUGCAGUAACCUUUUAAAUUCCUCACAUGAUUGAAUGUCGUGCCCUACAAUUCCAUGAAAAUCACAAAAAACCUGACAUUAUUUUUUGAGAUUAUCGUCGGGACGACAGAGUAAUCCAUUCUUAACCAGUGCCUCCCAGAUUUUCUGCAGAGGCGUCCUUAUUUCUGAAACACAUCUUCUGACUUUCCAUUCAUCUUCUUUCCCCAUUGUGCUCACAUUCCCUUUAGUAUGGUUAGGGAACGGGUUCUCAGUUGCAUUACUGGCACUAUAGAAUCGUAGGAUACCCGCAUCAAUUAGUCCUUGAACUCUCCUCUUAAAGGCUAGGCAAUUUUUCGUGGAAUGUCCCUGGUUUCCCGCAUGGUAUACACAACUAGCGUUUGGGUCGUACCAUUUUGGGUAUGGGGGCCUCAAGGGUGCCAUAUAAUGUGGGGAUAUCAAUUGCUUCUCCAUUUGGGUACAGUUCCCCAUAUGACACAGGAAUAGGGGUAAAUUGUGGUCUCUCGGAAUUGGGUUUUGCUGGCCUCUGCUCAUUUUUGGAUUGACCUUGGGCAGGUAUUGUAUUUUGUGGGAAUGUGGUGGUUGAUCUCGGGUUACUUGUGGCGUAAACGGGGUAAGAAGAGUAAUGAGGCGGUGUUUGGUAGUAAGGGGUUUGAGAAGGAUAAUAGAAAUUCAGAGGUGCACAAUUUCGAGGUCGGGGUUGGUUUGGAUACGGAUUAGGGGUAUAACAGCUUCCCAUUCCCACCAUGUGGGUUUCUAGUUCUUUCUUCUUCAUGGGCGCUACCCUUCUUGAACUUUCUUGACCUUCCAUUCUACCGCUCUUGACGGCGUUCUCUAUAAGCUCACCGGAUAUUACAAUAUCCGCGAAGUCCUUCGUGGCUCUUCCACUAGUUUGUCAUAAAAUGACGUCUUUAAGGUGUUGAUAAAAAGGACGGUUAUCUCUGUUUUCAUUAUUGGGGGUUCCACUUGGGCUGAGACGUCCCUCCAUCUCUGUGCAUACUGUCUAAAAGUUUCUGAUGGCUUUUUCUCCAUCAUUUGUAAAGUCAUCCGAUCAGGCACCAUAUCUGAUACAUGCUUGUACUGCUCACAGAAUGCCGAUGCCAAGUCUUUCCAAGAUCGGAUCCUUUCCUUACUGAGCUGGUUGUACCACCGAAGAGCCGAUCCUAUUAGACUAUCUUGAAAACAAUGUACAAGUAGCUUAUCUUCGUUCACGUAACCGGUCAUUUUUCGACAAAACAUGACAAGAUGUGCUUUUGGACAUCUUGUCCCAUCGUACUUUUCGAAAUCAGGCACCUUGAACUUCGGAGGCAGGAUUAGGUCAGGUACCAAACUGAGUUCUUUAGCACCUAGUGCAGAGAAGACUUCAGUGCCUUCUAUUGCCUUAAGUCUUUCCUCCAAGCUCCUAUACCUCUCUUGAGCCUCGUGAUCAUCUAUUUUCAACUUGGCUAUUUCGACUAGAUCAUCUAAAUCUGGAACUACAAGAUUGGCAAGGGUUGCUCCGGGAUUUGACAUAAAUGUUCCUUUCCCUAGAUGAGCAAAUGGCAUAGGUCGUUGUUCCAAGCUUGUGGAUUCCCCUUGAGUAUACCCUUUUUGUGCUACGUGGGCAUGUAGUGGAAUGAAUCUUGGGGGAUAGAGUGGAUCCUGGUCAUGAUUAAUUCUUGAUUGAGGUUCCAUACUGUCGGGGUUCUGCAUGGGUCCUUUUCCUUUGACCAAAACUGACAUCAUCUCCAUCAUUCUAUCCAUUUGAUCCUUUUGUUCAAGUGAUUCCUCUCGAGAUCUUACUAUCAAAUCCCUCGUUUCUUGCUGUAACUUAGCCAGUUGCUCUUGUAAUUCCAUUUGAAUUCUUUCCAUCCUUUCAAUCCUUGCGUUGAAUUCGGCCUCCAUUACUCUAGCUUGUCGGCGCGUUAUAUACGAAUGACGUGGUUCCAGUCUUGUGGUAUUACAACUGCAAAUUGUAUGUUUUAACCUUAGCGAAUAAUUAUGGGACAUGUACAUGCAAUGAAUGAAUGCAAAAAAGAGGCAUUGAUUCCAAUUCAAUUUCAUUAGAAGAACUUUACUAGAAGAAAAAUUUCUUUACAUAGAACGGAUGAUUACAUAUACGAAUUCGCCCUAAUGCCCAAAGUCUUAACUUUCCUAAGAAGCCAAGCUAAGCUUCGGCCUCGGUUUGAUUUUGACUCAUACUUCAAACUCAAUAUAUCAGCCUGAACUGCCAAGGUUUGCAAGUGAUCAGCUACCUCCCGAGCCUAAGCUAUAGCUUCGCCCAUGACAUAGUCUCUAUCUCUAAUCUGAUUUUGAGAGUGGUGAAGCUGUUCUCUGUAAUGGUCGUUGUUUGUCUCAAGAAGUUCCACUUGACUUUUGCUAUCUCGUAGUGCGGUCUCGAGUUCUUCUAUUUUCCCUUUCAACUCUUCGAUCCUGCUCAGACUAGCCUUCAGUUUAAUAAUCGAAUUAUGGCUACGAUGUUGCUGAAGUAAUCUUUCCAAUUCAGCCACCCGAGCUAGUAACUUCUCCUUUUCAUUUUGGGUUUCUAACAAACUCUUCUUCAGAGUGUCCUCUCGUACUCGGGCAUCUUGAAACCUUUUCUCCCAAUGGUCGGCUCUAGUCUUUUCCUCUUUAAUCUCUUGACGCCAUUGUUCCGAUGUUUUUCCUAAUCCGACAGUUUUUAUCGUUAUACGAAGCUUCUUGUAAUCGGUUUUCAGACUAUCUAAAUCUUCCUCGGCCUUGUUCUUUCCUUUCCUUAACUUCUCGGCCUCUAGCUUGUGGAUAUCGACGUCUAACCCCAACUUCAUUUUAUCUUCUUCUAGCUGCUCUAUCUUCUUCCCCAACUCCGAGUUUCUUUUCUCAAAAUCUUGCUUAAUGAUCUCUAAAUCGGAUGGGAUGACCCGUAAAUGCUCCUCUAUCGGUUGAGUGUUCCCUUGAUUCUGCCUAGGGAUAUUGUCGUUGACUCUUCUACCCACCACCAUUCAUACUCGGGGAUCAUCAUCGGGCCUGCGGUGAAUCCUUUCGUUCUUCGAGUUUGGUUCCAUGUGUCUGAUAUCUCGCGAACCCUCUUCUUAUAAUUGUUGUCUUUAUAAGAGAACUCACAUUGUGCCAACCCUUGUGUUACCGGUAUAAACUGCCUUGAUCGAUAUUACCUUAACACCAUCAGUGGAGCGUAUCCAACGGCUCCCCAUAUUCCAGCCAGAGGGACCCAGUCAAAAUCACCGUACCUAUAGAAGAUCUCGUCAGGAAUCAACCAUGGAGCCCUCCAUUCAACGUCUUCGGCCCGUAAAUUUUGGAGAAUAGUUAUCCACCUCUCUUCAGAGAUGUCGUCCUGCCUCGAUGUGGCCACUAAUUCUCUUAAUGGGGAAUAAUCCUUAGAGAAUACCCGAUAGGAGACCUUCUCCACCUUCCAAAAAUGACUAUGGAACUAAGCUAAAAGAAGCUGUGUGCAACCAAUAAAUCUUCCUUCGCCCGCUCUCUGGCAUGCAUUCAAGGAUCGAAAAGUUUCUGCUAGGAUUGCCGGGACUGGUGUGGUACCUUUAUCAAGUCGAUCGAAUAAAUCUGAGACGGCUUCAUCUAUGUGUCCAAGUGCUUUUGGAAAGAUGAUCAAACCAUAGAUGCUUAAGGCAAAAACAUCAACCUUUUUCUUUGA